GAGACAGCUGUGUAUUUUUCAAAUGAAUUGAGAGAUGUCAAGCUUCGAUAAUAAUACUUUUCAACCUACUACAUAUUAUCAAUAUGCUAAAUGUUCAACGACGCUUAGCUUUAUUUCGUUUGGGAAUAGUAAGCUUGAAAACGAGUUUUAUAUUCUGACUCCUUAUAAGAUAUGGUAUAUGCUUAUUUAACGAAUUUGCAUAUACACGUAAGAAGUUACGUUUCUUCGUUCUAUCAUGGACUUUUGGAUUCGACAACACUCAUUCGAGUUUCCUGUAGUUUUUCACAAUUCUUUUCAAUGUUUCGUAAUAUCCGUUAGUUGAUCAGAUUUAAAUUUUAUUGUAAUUCGAUGGGUGUAUAUUAGCUCAAUGUUUAAUUUUAAAUCACCUUAUUAAUAUUAAUUAAUAUAAAUGAAAUUUAACCUCUUAAGUACGACUCAAUGUUGCGAUAAAACGAUAAAACUACGACGUAUGACGAACAAUGGCUCUUCUCUAAUGGAAUACAUUUUAAUGAAGUUUUUUAUGAUUUAAAUUAUUGUUUUUAAUUUAAUAGUCAAAUUAGGUAUUAUAUAUUUUAAAAGAAAGCCAUUAUAGUGGCGCGUCUUACUGGAGAAUGGCACCCGCCCGCGACAUCCAUUGUAUUGAUGCGCCAUACUGGAAAAUGGCAUCCGUGGAAGCCACUAUAAUGGCGUGUAGUACGUAUAAAAGGUUAAGUAAUAAAGUGAUAUUCUUUUCACUGUCGUUUUUCAUUUUUUGUUUGUUUCUAAUUUUAAUGACAUUACGUGUGUAUGAUCAUUGAUGAUGAUCUGAACGGUAAAAGAUUUUGAAUCUUUCAUUUGAGAACGAUACGUUCGUGCAAAGUGCAAACGGGCCAAGAACAGAGAAUGAAAGAAGGAAAGAAAGAGAGAAUGCUAACGAUGAAAAGUUCUGAUUACAGAGCGCGUGUGCUGUGACACAGAUACGUAUCCUAUCCGCCCACUUUUCCAACAGUAACUGUCUUUGUAGUGGUAGCUACUCUCUGCAAACUGGGCCACUGCAUCUACGAAAGCCCAGCUUCGGAUCAAGGCAAACCGGUAGGCAGGCGAGCAGUCAAGCAAGCGGCCAAGCAAGCAAGCAGGCAAGUAAGCAAAAGCAAGCAGGCAAGCGAGCAGGUAAGCGCUCGAGAAACGAACAGACAGAUAGGUAAGUAGGUAGGUGGGCACAUGUUGUGCGCAUGCCCUUAGCCAAACCUGCCAAAUGGAUAGGCAAUGCAACAGCGGAAAUACCAUCUUCUGCUCCUCCUCCUCCUCAUCCUCCUCCUCCUUCUCCUUCCCUACGCUUCCUUCAUCUUCUUCUUCUUCUUCUUCUUCUUCCUCCUCUUAUACCCUAACUCCUGCCUCUUUUUCUUCUUCUACGCAGUAUCACCCCUCGGGCCCCCUUUCUCAAAGCGCCAUGCUUCUCACGGCUCGUGGCAACAUUCGUCUCUUUCGACCACAGCUUCGUUUAGUAUACUUACUUAUACUUAUUACAAAUAAUUGCCAAAUAAUAUGAUAUAUAUGUAUGUAUGUCAUAGAUAUUCUAAUCGAACAAUUCUAAUAAACGCUCGUAAAGUCUAAUUAUGACGAUGAAUUUGUUGAACGAUUGUAGGAAAAUUGUAGAUAAUUGAUAUAUUGAUUUGGGUACAAUUAAUGUAGACAAUUGAUGUAGCAUCCUUGACUUCGAAGAAUCAUGUCAGGAGAAUUAAUCGUUCGUAAAAGCGUAGAGAAUAAAGAAGAGGAGGAGGAGGAGGAGGAUGAUUUCAUCGGGGUGAGGUGAGGCGUAUGUUUGUAAGGGUACGAAGAGAAACGUGCGUGUGAAAUAACGAUCAGAGGCGUCACCGAGUUAAUAGAUUAGUUGGAAACACGCUCAUUUCUGCGUCAUAUAUGUCAUGUACAUUUAACUUUAUCAAAAGGGCGCUCGAGAAAUUGAACGUUAUAAUAUAUCUACUUAAAUAUAGGGUUGGAUGAAUGUGCAACCACUGUACAAAUAAUUUUUCAUCAAUUUACUAAACAAAAUUUAUCAAUAAAUUAAAAACGUGUUGUCUCAGACACGAAUUAUAUUGGGUUGGGAAGAAAGUAAUUUCGGUUUUUUAGUGUGAAAUAAAACUCAAUUGUUUCUAAACUAACAGUUGUAAACAAAAGUACAAGAAAUUUAUUUUUAUAGCAAUCUAAACAGUGUUAACUACUAAACCUCAAAAGAACAAAAUUCUCCCAUUAACGAAAGAAUAACGAAACAAACAUUGGUGCAAGCCGAAAUUACUUUCUUGCCAACCCAAUACAUUUUUAUAAAUAAUAAAAUCCUACAUAAUUGCAACGAUAUUAUAUCCGUUUUGGUAUAAUGUAUAAAAUAUUUUCUCUGAUAAAAUGUUGACUUAAUUAAAUAAAAGUUGUUAAAUGUGUAUAAUUUGACUAAAUGGUUCAUUGUGAGAGAGAGAGAGAGAGAAUUUCGUUUGUCAAUUAUUUAAAAAUACAUCUACCAAUACAGAUAAUUCACAAAGUUUUAUUCGACAUUAAUAUAUUAUCAAAAAUAAAACGUUUUCUACUAUUGACCUAUAAAAAAUUGAUGAAGUGCAAAAAAAGAAAUUAGUUUAGGACCGGGAAGAGUAGUCAGGUCGAUAUUUUUGGAAGGAAUAGAAGAAAACGAAGAGAAGAAGGUUGUUGGUAGGGUGCGACGUUGUCUCCUCUAGGGACCCUAGAAGAAUGGCGGAUUGUAGGAAGGGAAGAAGAUUUCCGGGAAGAAGGGAUACACAUAUAUAUGUGUAGGAAGGAGAAAAGAGAAAGAUAAAGACUAUAGGAAUGUGUUUGUGUGUGUUGGCAAGGGGGCGCGCGCGCGCGUUCUUCCUAAAAGAGGAGCGUUCUUCGUCCUUGAAGCGCCCUUGACGCGUCGUCAACAUCGUUGAGUUCGCUUCGCACGCGGCCUCCACUCGGAUUCACUGCGAACUAAUCGCCUUUAGAAAGCUUCGUUUGGUUUGCCUGCGACGCGUCGUAGGGCGUGGUCUAAGCGCACACCCGCUGACCUCCUGCCAUGGCAGCCAUCUUUGUUAGAAGUGCCACGUCUCGGAAUGGUGCGAGGGUGAAAGUUAGGGUGGCUUUUUCGGCAAAGAAACGGAUUAUCAAUCCGCAUCGUAAACCGCAUCUCCCUUCCACCCUUUGUCAUUGCUUACACACUUACAUCUUCUUUUUUUUUACUUUCCUCCCUUGAUUUUUACUUUACCAUCUUCUCUACCUUAUUUAUCUAGUUAUUUUUUAAUUUAGGGGGAAACGAUUGAAGAAAUGCGGAGAUUAAUAGAUUGGACUAUUUUUUCAAGAAUUUUUAAAUCGUGUACCGUUAAGUACGUAGGUGUGUUGAUUUUUUUUUCAAAGCCAUUCUCGAGAUACACGUGACUUGGAUUCACUUAAAUUUGAUAUCUCUGAGAAUUUAUUUUUUUAUCUACUAUCUAUCUUUAUUCUUAUAAUAAAAAAUCGUUGCAGUAUUUAAAUAUUUCCUCUCUCUUACUACUUCUUCUUUGAUGUUACUUACAUAGUUAUUAUCGCGUCAAAAGUAAGACUUUCAAAUUCGUUUGGUAAGAAAUAAAGAAAUAAAGUAUAAUAAGCUACGAUAGCUUACAGUGUCGACGUAGCAACGGUUGUCGUACGGCUUUGCGGGUUUAAUGCAGCGCGAUAGUUAGCGAUGUGAUGAGAUACGGUGCGGAAAAGCGUGUAUCUACUGAUAAAAAGUAGUUUAAAUAGAAGAAGAAGAAGAAGAA